UCCUUCCAUACGUCGAACUUACGACUCUCGCAUCGAUGAAGAACGCAGCGAAAUGCGAUACUUGGUGUGAAUUGCAGAAUCCCGUGAACCAUCGAGUCUUUGAACGCAAGUUGCGCCCGAGGCUAUCCGGCCGAGGGCACGCC
rnacentral:rRNA from 1 species